UACGAAGGGGGCUAGCGUUGCUCGGAAUCACUGGGCGUAAAGCGCACGUAGGCGGAUUGCUAAGUCAGGGGUGAAAUCCUGGAGCUCAACUCCAGAACUGCCUUUGAUACUGGCGAUCUUGAGUUCGAGAGAGGUGAGUGGAACUGCGAGUGUAGAGGUGAAAUUCGUAGAUAUUCGCAAGAACACCAGUGGCGAAGGCGGCUCACUGGCUCGAUACUGACGCUGAGGUGCGAAAGCGUGGGUAGCAAACAGG
rnacentral:rRNA from 1 species